rnacentral:lncRNA from 1 species
CCCCGCAAAACUUAAAAACGUUGGCGCCUUGGCUCCCAAGUCACUGUUGACAGUCAUAACUUCGAGGUCGUCAAAAAUUUCGUCUCUAGGGUCUUGUGUUAACACCAAUAAUAAUGUCAGCUUUGAAAUCCAACCUAGAAUAACUCUUCCCAACAUGUGCUACUUUUGAUUAAAUAUUUAAUUGAAAAGUCCUCUCUCGGCGAACGAAAACCAAACUCUCCAAGUUGCUCAUCAUACCCGUCCUACUAAAUGUGUGUCUGAUGUCUACACCUGAUAAGUCGGCAUAAGAAGUCUUUUGCGAACGAUUUAUGGUCUUUUGCGCAUUGACAACGAAUACUUGAAACGAUGGAACGAUGAGCUGUACGAGCUAUAUGAUGAUAUUGACAUAGUUCAGCGAAUAAAGAAACAGCGGCUACGCCGGCUAGGUCAUCUCCUCCAAAUGGUUGAAAGCACUCCAGCUUCGAAAGUAUACGAUGCAGCACCCGCUGGUGGAAGCACUCCGUUGCAACGAUCAGGUGGAGAGUGACCUGGCCUCACUUGGUAUUUCCGACUGGCGACAAACAGAGCAAGAAAAGGGAUGAAUGGUGCGCUAUAAUUAAUUUGGCUAUAAUCGCAUAAGCGGUGCCAACGACAAUAAUGAAGAAGAAGAAUAAGCAAUAUAUUAUUUUUUAAACGGCGGUGCCAAAGGUUUUUGAAUUACGAUCAAUACAAACCAUUGUAGUAUAUGCGAGCAUUCAAGCAAUGGAUGCAUAUUACCGAUAUCAUAGCAUGGCCAUUUGAUUCAACCACCUACACGCGCGCACGGCGUAUCUUAUAGCUGCAUCUCCCUGUUACAUUAUAAACCUAACUUUAUCGUGAAAAUAAUAAUUAAAUAAAAAAUUAAUUACUUAAAGUGUUUGUGCACCCAAGUGAAGAUAAACAUAUUUUUUUUUUAUUUAUCUCGGCUAAUUGGCACCAGACUCAAGGCAAGUUAACUACCGAGGAAUUUUUGGUAAAUAAACAUAUUUAGUUAAAGUCAAAAAGAAAAGUUAACUGAGUGCGUACAUCGGAAAACGUCUACGAAAUAUAGACACAACAUUUGCAAGUUUCAGUUCGUCCUCUGAAGACACCGAAAAUAAAUAUCAUGAGAAGUGUUGCAACUGUGAGAAUACUCUCGACUGGUGUCACAAUUUAAAGAGUAUGGAAAUUUAACCCAAAAAUGGAGAAAAUUCAACGAAAUAUGUUCUUCAACGCAAAUGGUAGUGGAAAAUGCAUUUGGACUGUUGAAAGAACGUUUCCGAAGACUGCUUAGUUUAACAAAAACAAACACAUUUGAAGGUGACUACCAAAAGAAUGUGUGUUGUAAAUAACAUUUGCAUUACUUUUGACGAUUUUCGCGAUGUCAAUGAAGCAAACGAUAAGGACAAACGAACUUUCUUUGUUCUAAAAGAGCAAAUGGAGGAGUCAAGCUUGCCGUGCGAGCGAAGUUUUCAAAUAAUAAAAAAGCCGUUGACAAAUAAGUCUGAUUAGAAAUCGUGGUUGUUUCCGAAGUAGCAGCUAUAACUUCGUCCAAAACUGUUAUUGUAAUGGUCAGACAUUUCCAUAAAACUUGAAAUCAAAAACCUUUUUAAUUAUUAAAAAAAAAAAAUUAUAUUAAAAAUACAGUAUUUUUAUAUGAUGAUAUGAGGAGCAGCUAUCCUUUGAAUAUAUUUGGUUUCAAAGCGCUAAAUAAAUCUCUAAACUAAAUAACUAAGAUCGGUUGUUGCGUUGUUUUUCUCGACUGUUGUUUUAAAAAGCAAUACGGCAGUUUUAAGCAAAGAAACUACAGCAUUGCGAAUGCUGUUGCUGCAAAGUCAAUUAAAAAGAUUAUUCAAAUCUUCAUACGUGCAAUAUUACAUGUAUUGUACAUUUGCAUUAUGUAGCUACUUAGGUAUGUAACAAUAUACACAUUAAUUGUAUGUAACAGUUUAGUUUAAUAGUCAUACAAAACUCGUGCGAUAUAUCAAAUGUUUAAUAGCUAGUCGUGACGGUACUAACAUAUUACCGUUUUUUAGUUUUUAUCAGCCGAAAGCAAGAGCGAUAGCAAAACGAUCCUGCUCUACUGCUUAAUUUGGUCUCACUGCUCUAGGGUUCACAGCAAAGCGACAGUCGCAGUCAUUGUUUUUACAUGAAAAGCGUACCAAAAUGUUGAAGUCUGCCAAAUAUUGUUUUAUGGCAGAUUUUAAGAAUGCAGGGUUGCAUUGUAAUAAUGCGGUUGCGUUUUGGAACUCAGUUUACUUUAGUGCCGCUAUGCACAUUUUGACAAUCAAAGAAGAAACAAAACUAAAUACUUGCAAGUGUUAAUUAUGGAAGCAAAUGAAUAGCAGAAAAUUGCUGUUGCUGUUCAAAUGUUGGAUUUGGUGGUUAAGGUAAAAAUCGUAUUCGAGCUAAAAAGCAAGUGUAACUAAAAUCCGUAUACAUCUUCUUCGUAAAGUAUUAGUAAAGUAACAGUUUUUUAUAUAAUUUUACACGAAAUGAAUGGGGAUAACGUUGAUGAAACACGUGACUCGUCACUUCUCCAUUUUAAAUACCAGCACACAAAUCAGCAAAUAUGAGGUAUUCGAGGUAUAAAUAGUGAAGAAGAAAAUUUUCAUCAUGCGGUUUCUCUCAUCGUCCGGAGUCGAAGUGCAAGAUAUAACUCUGCUUCCCCCGACAUCUACGGCUUAUUCGACGCUGACACAUAAUCUCAUCGAGGGUUAACAAAAUCGAAAGAUGCCAAGUUGCCUGAGUUGCUGGACGGUGAGCAAAUUGGGGAUCACACCUAAUCGCAAUUCCUUCGUCAUCUAUGCAACUUAUGCCCUGACGUGCCACAUAACAUGCUAAAAACAAGGUGGUAGUCUCACCUACGUGCACAAACACGUGCCAGUCUCGCUGUGCAGCUAAACGCAUCUUUGGAAGACCUUGGCCGCCUUAUCGACAAAAUAUGUAAGUGAGAUGAUGCCAGGUGGAACACACUCCAUUGCCGCUAUCUCUCAGGCUCAUUUGGGUUAAUAGUGGCGUUGAAUGGCUGUCAUACAAAAUCGCGCCACAUAUUCUUUAUAGAUCGUACUUCUGUAAUACAAUUUCUUGUGGACACAGAUGCUGAUAUUUCGGUACUUCCAUGCUCUCAAAUUAAGUCAAUUUUAACUUCGGUUGGCAGCUGUAUUCAGCGUCAGCGUAAAUCAUUGAAACAUAGGGUUAUUCCGUGCUCACGAUCAACUUCGGUUUGCGCCGCGAUUUUACUUGGCGAUUUAUUAUCGUCGAUGUCUCUAAGCUCAUUAUCGGGGCGGACUUUAUUAGCCACUUUGGUUUAGUAAUGGAUUUAAAAUACAGUAGAAUCAGUGACGAAAGUAGGUACUACUUGCACCGUCCAAAUGGAGCAAACUCCUCCAACUGUUUCAAUAAACGGUACUUGUGGCGAAUCACCUUAUAUGUAAUUAGUGAAACAAUUUUCUUCCACCACUAAGCCUGUUGCAGCAUUCCAAUUAAUGAAGAAUGCCACCGUGUAUCACAUCAAAACUAAUAACGGCCCGUUGAUUUCAAGUAAAGCGCGACAACUUGUGCCUCAUAAACUUAAAAUAGAUAAAGAGGAAUUCGCGGAAAUGGUAAAAGCGGGCAUCGCUCGUACAUCACAUAGUGGUAUAGUCUUCACCACAACAUUUAGCACUAAAAGGUCUGGAGAAUAACGACCGUGCGAUGACUAUCAUCGUCUCAACGAUAGAAAUUUCCUUAUCGAUAUAUAGAUCUAGUAGGAGCGUUCAACCAAAUCCCGGUUACGAGCGAAGAGAUUUAAAAACCGCUAUAAUCACGCCAUCCGAGUUAUUCGAGUUUCCAUUCAGGUCCUUGGGCUAGAGAAACGAAGGCCAAAUAUUUCAACGUUUUAUUGACAAAGUUACUCGCGACCUGCCUUUUGUUUUUCCGUACAUCGAAGACCUUCUUAUUGCUACACAUAUCGAUCGCUAGUAUCUUGAGCAUCUUUAAACGCUUUUUCAAUGACCUCAGGAUUUUGGCUUGGUAAUCAAUACGGCUAAAUCAUGUUUUGGCCACCCAAUAACGUGUAAUGGAAUCAAGCCACUAUCUAAAAAGGUCAGAGCCAUAAGAGAGUUGUCACUACCAACAAUAGUAAAAAACUUCGUGGAUUUCUCGGAAUUAUAUCGAAAAUUCACAAGGAACGGCGGGGUAUUACUAGCUCCAUUCAACGAAGUCAUUUCUGGUACCAAGAUCAAGAGUACACAACAAAUACGCUAGACAAAUGAACUUCGAAACGCUUUCGAUCAGUUAAAAGAAGCUUUAUCGAAUUGCGAAGAAUUACGAAUAGCUCACACAGACGUUGGCGCAGAAUUAGCCAUAUUUACAAACGCAUCCAAUUUUGCAAUCGGUGCUGUACUGCUAAGUAGGUUUUGGCAACCUCUUGCGUUAUCAGUCGAAGGCUUUCAGUAUCCAUCAGUAAACUCUUCACGUAUGAUCGCGAGCUCCAUGCGAUAUACGAGGCUGUUAAAUACUUCCGAUAUAUGUUUAAGCGUCGGCAUAUAACUAUUUAAAAUGACCACAAGGCGUUGCAGCAAGUUUGUGAGCAGCGAGAAGAGCGUGCUUCUCCUAGGCAGUGGAUAAGCCAGUUCACAAUAGACAUUAAACACGUACGUGGGGAAACUAACAUCGUAGCAGACACGUUCUCACGCGUCGAUACCAUUUCCAUUCCUUACCGUCGCGCCGAGAAGAGCAAUAUUUGGUUCACUGCACUCUCUAUAUCAUUCGGAAAUACGAUGCUUACAAAAAUUGGUGACGAACAGAUAUAUAUGGCCCCAGAUCCAUAAAGAUUUUCGUAUUUGGGCGCGAGUUUGCAUCGAGUGUCAAAGAAAUAAAGUACAGCGUCAUGUCGUUAUUCCUAUUGCCAAUGCAGCGUUUCGAGCACAUUCAUUUGGACCUAAUAUCAUUACCUUCAGUGAGAGUAUACCGUCAAUGUCUUACCAUAAGAGAUCGUUGCACGCGUUUUCCUGAAGAAAUACCACUAGGAAAUGGCAAUAUGGAAAUAAUCAAGCGUGCCACUCCAAAUAACUUUCGAUCGUCGUGGACAACUUAAAUCAGCUCUGCUUCGCAAACUUGCUGAUUUAUUUGGAAUUCCUCGUGUAAAGACUAAACCCUGUCAUCCCCAAGCCAACGGACUUGUAGAAAGAUUGCAUCGACAAUUAAAAUCAGCCUAUGUCACAAAGAAGCUUGGUAUGACGCGCUUCCAAUAGUUCUCAUGAGUUUACGAGCAUCGUAAAAAAAUGACAUUUCAACGACACCGGCUGGUGUCUCAAGUGCGUCAAGGACAAACAGAGCCAUCUUUUAGUGCCUCACACCAAGGACCAUAUCGCGUCUUAUCGUGACACGUUACACCUUUCUAUAUCGAAAUACAAGGACAACGUACUCCCGUCUCAGUAGACCGUCUCAAACCUGUCUUCGAAGCAUCGACCGAAAAACAAAUCACCACAACAACUAAUAAUAGGAAAACAACAAGGCGUGUUCUUUUGGCAGACGAUUCGUAACCUAUUUAGACGAUGAAAAUUUAUGAUUAUAUAAACUAAGUUAAGCCUAUCAUUGUUACAUUUUUUUUAUUUGAUUUUAAAACUAAAGAAAACACAACAAGGGGAGCUGAGUGGCAUACUUGCUACUCUACUGAACCAAUGGCAGCUCUUUCUCGGACUGGAAAUUAACUUUAAGCCUCUCAGUGGAAAAAGAGUAGUAUUGUUGUAAUGCCUUUAGUAGUUUGAUAUUUCCUUCACAAAACGGAACCUUGAUAAUUCUGUUUUCGCUACAUAUAUAUAUAUAUUCAUUUUCAAGUGAUAAUAUUCUUAUUAUCGGGGUGUGAUGGUGUAUAGGGUGUAUAGGGUGUAGUAAAGCUUCUGGUUAUGCUGUUACAUUUGCGAAGCUGUACUCUUGCGUCAACAUUGCGCUCCCUGGAAGAGGAGCAAUCCUUGUGUAACCAACCCGUGUAGAGGCUUGGGUCACGGCUAACGAGAGAGGAAGUUUCAGUGAAGCCACUCCAACUUAUUCGGUUUAAGCGCACGCUGAAAUCUAAUUGCAGCGUCUGUUCAUUAGAGGUGCGGCUGCGAGCGGGCAUCGGUUUUGAAGCAAGCGGAUCGCUAUAUAAAUAUGUACAAAGUUUAAACCUACUCGCUUAGCGAGGCUAUGCGCUAAGAUAAUAACGCCUCGGAUGAGGCCCCUUUCUGUUGACGAUCACCGCAAAAGAACAAAGGGACACGAUUUGAGGGCAUUCACCUGCAAUGUCCAGACGUGCUUGGCUAAUUUAAUGCCACAAAGACACCUUAUUUGGUACGACUGUUGGAAAAGUCAGUCAAGGUCUUCCCAUUUGAGGUGCGUACGGUCUUAUAAAUUGCCAUGAGAAGCCGUUGAUUGCGUAUUUACUGAUGACAUCCAUUGAGACUUCGCUACAAACGCUUUAAUUGAUUUGCAACGAGCAAAUGCUGCUUUAAAAGCUACUGCGCCUGGGUCAGAGGAAAGUUUGAGAUGUAACAACUUUGUGACGAAGCACACAAAGUCGCAGACGUAUGGCUUGAAACAGGAUGUUCGUUGAAGCGUUGAUGUUUUGACGAGAGCAUGAAAAUAUACAAGAAGCUUCUUGGCUGUCCCCCGAUCGAAAAACAAAAAACCAGGACCCAACAUCGCUUUGGACCACUAUCUUGUUGCAGCGAUUAAGCACAUGCCCAUCUGUAUAUGAAGAACACAAGGAAAGUUCCACGUCGAAAAGCUGCAAUCACAACAGGCUGUCGAACGACUUUCUACUCGACUUGCACUCUUGUUAUUCGAGAGCACUCAUCAGCAAACGUACAGGUGCAGACGAGACUAAUGAAUUUUGCAAAGUUCGCAAAAACAGCUGGUACGAUAAGGACUGCCGUGUCGCAGUGGAGCGAAAACAGACUGCUUACCGCGCAAACUUGCCAUCGACUACAAAAACUCAAUCAUGUCAUCUAGCCACCGAUGCCCAGAGCACUUUGAACUUAUGGAGGGAACUUUUCUCCAGUCUUCUAAAUAGCAGUUCGGGUUCACCUUAACACCAAUCGAUGACGGUGGAAAAGACCGGCGAAAAGAGGAUCGACACACUCCACCUCUUCGUCGGUUUUAAAGUCGCCUUGGAUAGCAUGAACAGCAGCUGCCUUUACUCUGCUAAGUCUGAUUUCGGUAUCCCCGCAAAACUUAUCGGGCUAUGUAAACUGACCGCAAGCGACUCUAAAGGCCCAGUCAGGAUCGGGCGGACCUCUCCGAGUCAUUCUUUACCAAACGAGAUUUCAGACA